GACGAACGCUGGCGGCGUGCUUAACACAUGCAAGUCGAACAAUGAACCCGGAGCUUGCUCCGGCGGAUUAGUGGCGAACGGGUGAGUAACACGUGAGUAACCUGCCCUUGACUCUGGGAUAACUGCGGGAAACUGUAGCUAAUACCGGAUACGACCCUCGGCGGCAUCGCCAGGGGGUGGAAAGAAUUUCGGUCAAGGAUGGACUCGCGGCCUAUCAGCUAGUUGGUGAGGUAACGGCUCACCAAGGCGACGACGGGUAGCCGGCCUGAGAGGGUGACCGGCCACACUGGGACUGGGACACGGCCCAGACUCCUACGGGAGGCAGCAGUGGGGAAUAUUGCACAAUGGGCGCAAGCCUGAUGCAGCAACGCCGCGUGAGGGAUGACGGCCUUCGGGUUGUAAACCUCUUUUAGUAGGGAAGAAGCGAAAGUGACGGUACCUGCAGAAAAAGCACCGGCUAACUACGUGCCAGCAGCCGCCGUAA
rnacentral:rRNA from 1 species